GUAGGUGGCAAGCGUUGUCCGGAAUUAUUGGGCGUAAAGCGCGCGCAGGCGGUUCUUUAAGUCUGAUGUGAAAGCCCACGGGCUCAACCGUGGAGGGUCAUUGGAAACUGGAGAACUUGAGUACAGAAGAGGAAAGCGGAAUUCCACGUGUAGCGGUGAAAUGCGUAGUGAUGUGGAGGAACACCAGUGGCGAAGGCGGCUUUCUGGUCUGUAACUGACGCUGAGGCGCGAAAGCGUGGGGAGCAAACAGGAUUAGAUACCCUGGUAGUCCACGCCGUAAACGAUGAGUGCUAAGUGUUAGGGGGUUUCCGCCCCUUAGUGCUGCAGCUAACGCAUUAAGCACUCCGCCUGGGGAGUACGGCCGCAAGGCUG
rnacentral:rRNA from 1 species